GUUAGAGGUAGUACCGGGGCUGGGGUUAGAGGUAGUGUUGGGGGUUAGAGGUAGUACUGGGGUUAGAGGUAGUACCGGGGCUGGGGUUAGAGGUAGUACCGGGGCUGGGGUUAGAGGUAGUACCGGGGCUGGGGUUAGAGGUAGUACCGGGACUGGGGUUAGUGGUAGUACCGGGACUGGGGUUAGAGGUAGUACUGGGGCUGGGGCUAGAGGUAGUACUGGGGCUGGGGUUAGAGGUAGUACUGGGGCUGGGGCUGGGGAUAGAGGUAGUACUGGGGCUGGGGUUAGAGGUAGUACCAGGGCUGGGGUUAGAGGUAGUACUGGGGUUAGAGGUAGUACUGGGGCUGGGGUUAGAGGUAGUACUGGGACUGGGGUUAGAGGUAGUACUGGGGCUGGGGUUAGAGGUAGUACCGGGGCUGGGGUUAGAGGUAGUACUGGGAUUAGAGGUAGUACUGGGGCUGGGGUUAGAGGUAGUACUGGGGUUAGAGGUAGUACUGGGGCUAGGGUUAGAGGUAGUACCGGGGCUGGGGUUAGAGGUAGUACUGGGGCUGGGGUUAGAGGUAGUACCGGGACUGGGGUUACAGAUAGUACCGGGGCUGGGGUUAGAGGUAGUACUGGG
rnacentral:lncRNA from 1 species